rnacentral:lncRNA from 1 species
AACCACUGAGUGGAGUAUUUAGUACACAGGAAGUCGGCCAGAGAAACAUUUCUCAUAUUUGAAGGCCGGAAAGAGGGACAUUUCUGACACCGGAAGUCAGUGAGAGGACUCUUUCCCACACAGGAAGUCAGCUAGAGAGCCGUCUCCCCUCUCUGGAGCCGAGAGAGGCCGGUUUCCCCCACCGACAACAUCCAGAGGUGUCCAGAAAGAAGGUGGCCUUGACCAGAAUUCCUCAGCCUUGGCUGCACAUGAGAACCAGUGAGGGAGCCCUAAAAACGCUGAUGCCCAGGCUCCACCCAGACCUAUAGGUGCAGAACCUCUAGGGGAGGGCCCAGCCAUCGCGCUUUGAAAAAUCUCCUCAGGUCUCACAUGAGUACUUCACAAUGGGGAAACUGAACUGGAACUCUACUGACAACGCAGUUGGGAGUUCAAACUUAAUAACCUUCCAGAGUUGGUAUCAAAUUCAGACGCUGACGCUCCUUGGAGAGGUUCUUUGCUGCAAGAGGAUGGAAAGGAUCACUGUGAUUUUGUUUUUCUCCUGCUGCUCUGUCUGGAAGCCAUGUGAGGAGGACAUCUGAGCAGCCCUGUGGAGAGGCCCCCAGCCAACAGCCAGCAUGAACUUGCUGGGCAUGUGAGUGCACCACCUUGAAAGUAGAGCCUCAACCCCUGGUCAAGCCAUCAGGGAGAGCUCAAGCUGGCCUGUUGGAAGAUGACAGGCCAUAUGCAACAGACGUGAAGUGUCCCAGCUGAUCCCCUUCCAGAACACCCACCUUCCAGAUGACCACAGAUGCAAGGGUGAGCCAGCCAAUAGCUGCUGAGACAUUCCCAGAAAGACAGAACAUCCAGCUGACCCAUGGACUCAUGGGCGAUCAUGGAUAAAUGGAUAUUGUUUCAAGCUACUAGGUUUGGGGUUGGUUUGUUACGCAGCAAUAGCUAACAGCUACACCUCUAUUUUAAGGAGUUGUGAAGAUAAAUUGCAAAGGUACAGAAAAAUGAAUAGCUAUAA